rnacentral:rRNA from 1 species
UACCCGCUGAAUUAAGCAUAUAAGUAAGCGGAGGAAAAGAAACUAAAUAGGAUUCUCUUAGUAAUGGCGAAUGAACUGGGAUGAGCUCACCAUGGGAAUCGGGGUCUUCGACCUUGAAUUGUAGUCUUGAGACGCACCGCCAACAGAGGCGCAGGUGUAAGCCUCUUGGAAGAGAGCAUCGCGGAGGGUGAGAGUCCCGUCUGUCACCUGCAGUCCCCUGUGUACGGCAUGCGUUCUGAGAGUCACGUUCCUCGGGAUUGGAGCGCAAAUUGGGUGGUAAGUUUCACCUUAAGCUAAAUAUUGGUCCGAGACCGAUAGCAAACAAGUACCAUGAGGGAAAGGUGAAAAGGACUUUGAAAAGAGAGUUAAAAGUGCUUGAAAUUGCUGAAAGGGAAGCGAAUGGAACCAGUUCUGCUGGGCGAGAUUGUCGCAUGCCAAGGCCCUGUGCCGGCCGCAUGCGGUGCUUCUUGCCUUGUGUGUCAGCUGCGGUCCGAAGUUGGGGAAAACUCUGGGGACAUGGAUGCCAACCUCCGGGGGGGUGAAUGUGCCUGGCAAGACCCGUCCUUGGACUGUGAGCAGUGCUUCGGCAUGUUUGCGGUGCUGACGAAAUGCUUCUAUUCGACCCGUCUUGAAACACGGACCGAGGAGUCUAACAUGUGUGCGAGCUCACGGGUGUCAAACCUGCUUGCGCAAUGAAAGUGACUGCUGGGAUACUUGCACCAGCAACCGAUCUGUCAACUGAGAGAGAUUUGAGUUUGAGCAUACCUGUUAGGACCCGAAAGAUGGUGAACUAUGCUUGUGUAGGGCAAAGCCAGGGGAAACUCUGGUGGAGGCUCGUAGCGAUACUGACGUGC